AAUCAACGCUGGCGGCGUGCCUAACACAUGCAAGUCGAACGCGAAAGGGGAGCAAUCCCUGAGUAGAGUGGCAAACGGGUGAGUAACACGUGGGUGACCUGCCUUCGAGUGGGGGAUAACGUUCCGAAAGGAACGCUAAUACCGCAUGACAUCCUGCUUUUGGAGAAGCGGAGAUCAAAGCUGGGGAUUCGCAAGAACCUAGCGCUUGAAGAGGGGCCCGCGCCUGAUUAGCUAGUUGGUGGGGUAACGGCUCACCAAGGCUUCGAUCAGUAUCCGGCCUGAGAGGGCGGACGGACACACUGGGACUGAGACACGGCCCAGACUCCUACGGGAGGCAGCAGUGGGGAAUUGUUCGCAAUGGGCGCAAGCCUGACGACGCAACGCCGCGUGGAGGAUGAAGAUUUUCGGAUCGUAAACUCCUGUCGAGUGGGAAGAAUAGCUUCCGGGCGAAUAUCCCGGAAGUNUGACGGUACCACUAAAGGAAGCCCCGGCUAACUCCGUGCCAGCAGCCGCGGUAAUACGGGGGGGGC
rnacentral:rRNA from 1 species